GACGAACCGUGCGAACGUUGUUCGGAAUCACUGGGCUUAAAGGGCGCGUAGGCGGGCCCGUCGGUCAGGGGUGAAAGCCCGCGGCUCAACCGCGGAAGUGCCCCUGAUACCGCGGGCCUCGAGGGGGGUAGGGGCGUGCGGAACUUCCGGUGGAGCGGUGAAAUGCGUAGAUAUCGGAAGGAACACCGGUGGCGAAAGCGGCGCGCUGGACCCCUUCUGACGCUGAGGCGCGAAAGCCAGGGGAGCAAACGGG
rnacentral:rRNA from 1 species